rnacentral:rRNA from 1 species
CUCAACCCAGGACGUGCAUUUGAAACUGCUUAGCUUGAGUGCUGGAGAGGGCAGCAGAAUUCCUGGUGUAGUGGUGAAAUACGUAGAUAUCAGGAGGAACACCGGUGGCGAAGGCGGCUGCCUGGCCAGACACUGACACUCAGACCCGAAAGCGUGGGUAGCAAACAGGAUUAGAUACCUUGGUAGUCCACGCCGUAAACAUUGGACACUUGGUGUUGGAGGUUUUGACCCCUUUAGUGCCGGAGCUAACGCGUUAAGUGUCCCGCCUGGGGAGUACGGUCGCAAGAUUAAAACUCAAAGAAAUUGACGGGGGCCCGCACAAGCGGUGGAGCAUGUGGUUUAAUUCGAUGCAACGCGAAGAACCUUACCUGGCCUUGACAUCUAGGGGACGGCGACCAGAAAUGGUGCUUCUCUUCGGAGUCCC